GACUCGGUGGCGAAUGGUUUCGCAUCCACCAACGUUAUGUGUUGCAUAUUCAAGAAAUUCUCGUGAAAGUCGCCUGUUCGAAUCAGGCCCGAGUCC